UACAGAGGUCUCAAGCGUUGUUCGGAUUCAUUGGGCGUAAAGGGCGCGUAGGCGGCCUGAUAAGUAGGGGGGUGAAAUCCUGCGGCUUAACCGCAGGGCUGCCUUCUAAACUGUCAGGCUUGAGCACAGUAGAGGCAGGUGGAAUUCCCGGUGUAGCGGUGGAAUGCGUAGAGAUCGGGAAGAACAUCAGUGGCGAAGGCGGCCUGCUGGGCUGUUGCUGACGCUGAGGCGCGACAGCGUGGGGGAGCAAACAGG
rnacentral:rRNA from 1 species